CCUNCGGGAGGCNCCAGUAAGGAAUAUUGGCCAAUGGGGCAAGCCUGAUCCAGCCAUGCCGCGUGAAGGAUUAAGGUCCUCUGGAUUGUAAACUUCUUUUAUAUGGGACGAAAAAAGGGAAUUCUUUCUCACUUGACGGUACCAUAUGAAUAAGCACCGGCUAACUCCGUGCCAGCAGCCGCGGUAAUACGGAGGGUGCAAGCGUUAUCCGGAUUCACUGGGUUUAAAGGGUGCGUAGGCGGGUAUGUAAGUCAGUGGUGAAAUCUCGGAGCUUAACUCCGAAACUGCCAUUGAUACUAUAUAUCUUGAAUAUUGUGGAGGUUUGCGGAAUAUGUCAUGUANCGGUGAAAUGCUUAGAUAUGACAUAGAACACNNNUUGNGAAGGCAGCAGGCUACACAUAUAUUGACGCUGAGGCACGAAAGCGUGGGGAUCAAACAGGAUUAGAUACCCUGGUAGUCCACGCCCUAAACGAUGGAUACUCGACAUACGCGAUACACAGUGUGUGUCUGAGCGAAAGCAUUAAGUAUCCCACCUGGAAGUACUCCUCCAAGGNACANUNNA
rnacentral:rRNA from 1 species